UUAUAUUCCCAAAAGGAUUAACAUAAACUAAAGAUGACAAUCUAAGUGACUCUUUUAGAGCCCAUCUUGAAGGUAGGAACCAAAAAGGCGAAUGUGAUGAGAUAUUACCUUAAAGUGCAAAUGUUUGUCCUACUCACUUGGGAAGCACAUAAUCCUUAAAUAGGGGCUUUAUUUUUUCAUUUGUGUCAUUGUAUAUUGGGCAAUGGUUAUCCACCUCAACCCCUUCUUGUCUUAAUACAUUUCUCAUAGUUAAUAUAACUCUACAUAGCCUCUAAAUAAAAUGUUUCACCCUCAAAAGAAUAGGAUAUUUUUCCAUUGUGGCUUUAAGCUUGCCAUGCUUGAUAGUAGUUGUUUUACUGUAUAGUCUCUAUCUCUUGAAAUGCCUUAAAUGAAUUUGUUAGGCGAUACAAUUUUCACCAUUAUGGCACCAAGCUUCCUAUGUUCGGUAACAUGUUGUUUUCAUCAUAUAGUCUCCAUCUCUUGAAAAGCUCGAGAUGAGCUUGU
rnacentral:lncRNA from 1 species